GAUGGAGAACGUAGCGAAAUGCGAUACUUGGUGUGAAUUGCAGAAUCCCGUGAACCAUCGAGUCUUUGAACGCAAGUUGCGCCCGAAGCCACUAGGCCGAGGGCACGCCUGCCUGGGCGUCACACGCCGUUGCCCCCCCAUCUACUCCUUCGGGAUUGCGGGGGGGCGGAUGAUGGCCUCCUGUGCGCCUAGCCGCGCGGUUGGCAUAAAUACCAAGUCCUCGGCGACGCACGCCACGACAAUCGGUGGUUGCGAAACCUCGGUUGCCCGUCGUGUGCGUUCGUCGCGCAUCGAGGGCUCGAAAAAAUGCUCGGCUCCGGCUGGGCUUUCAACGCGACCCCAGGUCAGGCGGGGUUACCCGCUGAAUUUAAGCAUAUCAAUAAGCGGAGGA
rnacentral:misc_RNA from 1 species